GAUGAACGUUGGCGGCGUGCCUAAUACAUGCAAGUCGAGCGAACGGACGAGAAGCUUGCUUCUCUGAUGUUAGCGGCGGACGGGUGAGUAACACGUGGAUAACCUACCUACAAGACUGGGAUAACUUCGGGAAACCGGAGCUAAUACCGGAUAAUAUUUUGAACCGCAUGGUUCAAAAGUGAAAGACGGUCUUGCUGUCACUUAUAGAUGGAUCCGCGCUGCAUUAGCUAGUUGGUAAGGUAACGGCUUACCAAGGCAACGUUGCAUAGCCGACCUGAGAGGGUGAUCGGCCACACUGGAACUGAGACACGGUCCAGACUCCUACGGGAGGCAGCAGUAGGGAAUCUCCCGCAAUGGGCGAAAGCCUGACGGAGCAACGCCGCGUGAGUGAUGAAGGUCUUCGGAUCGUAAAACUCUGUUAUUAGGGAAGAACAUAUGUGUAAGUAACUGUGCACAUCUUGACGGUACCUAAUCAGAAAGCCACGGCUAACUACGUGCCAGCAGCCGCGGUAAUACGUAGGUGGCAAGCGUUAUCCGGAAUUAUUGGGCGUAAAGCGCGCGUAGGCGGUUUUUUAAGUCUGAUGUGAAAGCCCACGGCUCAACCGUGGAGGGUCAUUGGAAACUGGAAAACUUGAGUGCAGAAGAGGAAAGUGGAAUUCCAUGUGUAGCGGUGAAAUGCGCAGAGAUAUGGAGGAACACCAGUGGCGAAGGCGACUUUCUGGUCUGUAACUGACGCUGAUGUGCGAAAGCGUGGGGAUCAAACAGGAUUAGAUACCCUGGUAGUCCACGCCGUAAACGAUGAGUGCUAGGUGUUAGGGGGUUUCCGCCCCUUAGUGCUGCAGCUAACGCAUUAAGCACUCCGCCUGGGGAGUACGACCGCAAGGUUGAAACUCAAAGGAAUUGACGGGGACCCGCACAAGCGGUGGAGCAUGUGGUUUAAUUCGAAGCAACGCGAAGAACCUUACCAAAUCUUGACAUCCUUUGACAACUCUAGAGAUAGAGCCUUCCCCUUCGGGGGACAAAGUGACAGGUGGUGCAUGGUUGUCGUCAGCUCGUGUCGUGAGAUGUUGGGUUAAGUCCCGCAACGAGCGCAACCCUUAAGCUUAGUUGCCAUCAUUAAGUUGGGCACUCUAAGUUGACUGCCGGUGACAAACCGGAGGAAGGUGGGGAUGACGUCAAAUCAUCAUGCCCCUUAUGAUUUGGGCUACACACGUGCUACAAUGGACAAUACAAAGGGCAGCGAAACCGCGAGGUCAAGCAAAUCCCAUAAAGUUGUUCUCAGUUCGGAUUGUAGUCUGCAACUCGACUACAUGAAGCUGGAAUCGCUAGUAAUCGUAGAUCAGCAUGCUACGGUGAAUACGUUCCCGGGUCU
rnacentral:rRNA from 1 species